rnacentral:rRNA from 1 species
UACGGGGGGGGCAAGCGUUGUUCGGAAUUACUGGGCGUAAAGGGCUCGUAGGCGGCCAACUAAGUCAGACGUGAAAUCCCUCGGCUUAACCGGGGAACUGCAUCUGAUACUGGAUGGCUUGAGUUCGGGAGAGGGAUGCGGAACUCCAGGUGUAGCGGUGAAAUGCGUAGAUAUCUGGAGGAACACCGGUGGCGAAGGCGGCAUCCUGGACCGACACUGACGCUGAGGAGCGAAAGCCAGGGGAGCAAACGGG